rnacentral:rRNA from 1 species
UACGGAGGGUGCAAGCGUUAUCCGGAUUCACUGGGUUUAAAGGGUGCGUAGGCGGGCAGGUAAGUCAGUGGUGAAAUCCUAGAGCUUAACUCUAGAACUGCCGUUGAUACUAUCUGUCUUGAAUAUUGUGGAGGUGAGCGGAAUAUGUCAUGUAGCGGUGAAAUGCUUAGAUAUGACAUAGAACACCAAUUGCGAAGGCAGCUCGCUACACAUAUAUUGACUCUGAGGCACGAAAGCGGGGGGAUCAAACAGG